GGAUUUAUUUCUGCAAUUUUUCACUAAAAUAUUUUUAAAAAAUUCGAAUUCUGAAGGAUUUGGAACCGAAGAAAAAUGAUUGAAGGAAACAACCUGUACGGCUGGUCGGCUGUACGUACGCCAGCACCUUGCAUUGGCAACAUGGGAUUGAGCAGUUUACUGUUGCAUUGCUGGUGGAUUUGGUGCCUGCCGUGAUCCCGUUUCCGUCUCGGUGGACUUCUUGUCUCCGUCAAGACUCAAGACUCAGGUCUCAGGUCCAGGCGUGCCGCGCGCGGCGUGCGGGCGCCCGGGUGGCCAGCGGCCACGAGCCAGAGGCACCUGCGUGAAGGACUGAAGGCAGCCUCGCCGAGAUGCCGAUCGGGAGACGAAUCAAAACCGCCUCGCCUUCGUUUCUCGCUGCUGCUUGUUGCGCCGGGAAACUUGGGUCAUCGAAUGAAUGGGCUCAAGUGCUGAAGUUGGAGGCCCUGUGCCGUCGUACCGGCCGCACGCCGGGCCAGCCGGCCGGCAGGAUCCUGAGCCCACCUGUCAGCGGACCAAAUUCGUAGGCUGCUUCUUUCCCUGCAUACGACAGGGGCUGCUAACUGCUUGCUGUGAAAAGCUCAUCUCCGUUGCGUCCCGCUGUCAACGAACCGGGCCGGUGAUUCCGUGUUGUUGUCUCAGCCCUCUUGAAGGAUGGAAGAACGGAGAAAAGUUGAAACACGGAAGCAAAGCCUGGCCCUAGACGCGCACGGCCGACGGCCGGCGAUGAAAUUAAAAGCCGGCCGGCCAGCCCUCUCCGCCCUCCCAGCCAGUAGUACUAGGUAGCCGCUCCCCAACGCCGACUGCCGCCUCUCCCGGUCUCUGCCGCCCCGCUCGCCGCGCGCGCCGCGCUCUCCCGCCGUGUCUUCCGAGCGAGCGCAAGAAGACACACCGAAUUGCAUACCGCGCGUGGCACGUGUGCCGCUAGGUGGCCGGGGCGACAUCGAUUACUUGUCGUGUGGGGCGUGCAGUGAGAUCCUCGCCGCUUUCCCCACACCCUCUUCUUCUUUCCCCACGCGGCCACACCCCUCUUCAUCUUCCUCGCUCCAAAAGGCAGCGUGCAGGCAAUUCUACUGCUAAACCAGGGGUGCUUAGGCAGACGGGAUGGGUUACACGGACGGCCUGAAGCGCGCGCGGGUGGAGGCGCCCAUGGUGUCCCGAGUCCGUGAUCCGAGGCCGGAGGUGUGACACGCGAGGACGCGACCCGGUUGUGCCCUGAAGGGCGAGUUCACCGUCGAGCUGGAGAGGUACCAGCACCAGUACACAAAAGGUCUUCCGUUUUUUAUAUUUAUCCUGGCCUAGGUUGGUCCGGAACUAAUAAUAAAAGCAUUAGCCUCGAAUUCAACGGUCGGGAGCCUAUCGAGGGUGGAGGGAUAUUUAGUUCUAGUUGGAGCCACCAACCGGGACUAAAAGUGUCUCAUUAGUCCUGAUUGAUGGCUUCAACCGGGAUCUAAUGAGGCACUUUUAAUCCGGUUUCGUGGCUCCAACCGGAACUAAAUCCUCUAUCCUCUUUUAUCCCCUUCUUACUCCCCAUGCCCGAGCCAUUCCUCCAUUGUUCUUCAUGUUCUAUAGGUGAGGGGAGAUCAUGCCCAUUUUCUCUAUGAUUUGUGAAGAUUUUUGAUUCCCCCGUCCAUCCAACUGUUCUAUAGGUUACAAACUUUAUCCUCUCAUCUUCUAUUGCUAGUAUAGCUUAUUUUAUGGUUUAAAAAUAGAGAAAUUUGAGGUUUUUUAGAUUGGAAAAAUUAUUGGAGUUUUUCGAUUUAUACACCAUUUGAGCUCAAAUUUAUUUAAGAUUUGCAUGUGUAGAUGUGAUUUUCUUGUAUUAUUUAAUCAAAAUGAGUAUAUAGAGUAGAAUGUAUUUUUUGAAUUGGAGUAUAUAUAUAUAGAGAGAGAGGAACACUGUUUAGAAAAAAAUAUAGAUAUAUUAAAAUUAGUAUAUACAAUGGAAGUAUGAAAAAUAUAGAUAUGAAAACGAGUAUAUAGAAAAAUAGAUAUUAGUUGAGUAUAGUAGAAAUUUUUUAUUUUUAGAAAUGGAAGUAUAUAUAUACACACACAUGUAUGGAGGGAUUAUUAACGGUCAAUGACUAAUUAAUGAUUAUUAUUGUUAAUAUUAGUUGACGUAGUUAGCUAUUAAUAUAGUUUAUUAUUAUUUUAUACAUGUGACAAUUUUUCUAGGUGCAGUUAGCUAUUGAUUUAGUUUAUAAUUGUUAUAGUGUAUUGAAGUUUAGAUUGUAAUUACGUAUUCCAAAAUAAAUUAUUUUAGCACUCUAGUGAGUAAUUAAUGUUUAAUAUGUAGAAAUGGCUUUGCAACAUGAUGCAUUAGAGCGUUGUACGUCCCAUUGGGCAUCGGUACACAAUCAUUUCAAACGCACCGGUCAUUCCUUUUAAGUUUGACAGGGAAGAGCAUCUUGGACUUGUUCGGGAUCGUAUUCGUCGUUGGACUACGUAAUGCAAGAUGCAAAUUUGAGCGUGAAUUUGAUGUCGAGUUGCAUGGUAUGGAUGAUGAUCGCGAGUUGAUAGCUUGAUGCAAUGCGAGGCGCGAAGCGUCGGGGGUGGUAGAAAUUGUUUGUUCGGUGUCCAGAGUUUGCGAGGCGGUUCACGAGGCAUCUAUCAAUAGGUCUCAUGAGUAGUUGUACUAGCAUGUAGCUUAUUCGGUAUUUUAGAAGUUUUAAUCAAUCAUAUUAUGUAAUGGAUAAUUUAGACCUUUUAAUUAAUCAUGAUAUGUGAUGGAUAUUUGGAUCUUUAA